rnacentral:piRNA from 1 species
UAGACUUCAGAAGGGUCACAGUCAAUGCCUUC